UUUCUGUUAUUGUUUCUUUUCUUUAGAUGGAGUUUAAGGAGUUUUACUCUGCUGUCUUACAAACACUCCUUCAUCCUCUUGGUAAGGUGGAUGGUAUGAAGUUUAACCCAUUGGAACUCGUUGGACAUCUCCAAAGAAUAUUCCAUGUUCCUAAUGCAUCCCACAGUACACUUGUAAAGGAAGAAGUCAACAAACGACCGGAUCGUUUUUUUCUUAGAGUGACUGUAGUGGAGGCUAAGGACAUCAAAGGAAUGGAUCCAAAUGGUAUGAGUGAUCCAUACUGUAUCCUAACUCACUGCAAUAAGGCAUCCAGUAGCAGCCCUUCCCAACAGCGCUCCUCUCCGCAACACUCUCACAACAAGAACCAGGCACGUAGCGAUAGUCUCGACCAGCUCACCAACCACAAGACGCAUUCCCUGCAACAUGCCAACACUCUCCCACAAAGCUCAGGGAACAGUAGCAGUAGAUUCCUAUCUCCUCAGACUUCUGUACCUGAGACCAGCCAUCAUCUUAGUCUCUCCAGGAACAUCCAGAGGAAUAGGAGCUUCAACCGCAAGGACAGACGAAGGAAGUCACUGGAACACCUGGGUGUUGAUGCCAAACAACAGAGUAUCCAGCAAGAUCUACAUGUUCACUCAUUAGCCGUACCUGAUGAAAGGAGACGUAAGGGGUCUGAUUCAUUCCCCGUUUCUCCCAACUUAACCCAUAAUAAUUCCCUGGAAGCUAACUCCCUCUACAGGACGUCAUGUAAGUCGGCAACCUUGCAUCCCGUCUGGAAUGAAACCUUUGACAUUGAGUUGGAUAGAUUAGAUGGUGAGUUGAUCAUAACCAUGUGGGACCUGGAUGAAGAGACAAGUCUUUGGGAUGCAUGCAAGAGUCUAGAAGCAGAACACAAGCUUGCUGGUAUCAAAAACAUCUUUCGUCACAUGAAGCACGGGAUCAACAAAUGCACAGAUGAUUUCCUUGGUCAAGUCACGAUACCCCUGGAUAAGAUAGAGGCUGCUACCAUCACGGAGGAUUGGUAUCGACUCCAGAGAGGUCAUGCUAAGGUCAUGAGUUCACAGGUCACUGGUAAACUCCAUCUCAAGAUGCACUACCUUAGGAUAAAGUCUGAGAACCAUCCAGAGAGAGAUGAGAGAGCGCUUUCAUACUACCACCAGCUUGUAACUGCUGCUCAGAAACAUGAUGCAGGAAAACAUAUUAAGUCAAGACAGGAUAAGGAAAAAACUCCAUGGGAUGGAAGGUUAAGUAGACUGAGCCACCAUGUUCUCAAUCAGUUUGCAGUCCAGAAUGGAAUCAGCAAAUUAUCACAAAACAUCAUGUAUUUGUCAGCUUUACUUGACUUUCAGUUAGAAUUCACUCGCAAAUUGAAAGAAAUAGAGAUGGCACCUCCAGAACUCAUAAUGGAGCCAGUACCUGAGGAAAGUGCCUUUGAUGAGACAGACUCUUCCCCUCCACUCUCUUCUUUGACUCCCAAUAACAACAAUCAAGGCAAUAAGGGUUCUCCAACUGGUAACCUGUCAGAAAAGACGGAUCCACCCAAGGAUGAAAAAACUGUACGGAGAUCGCCCAAUAGGUCAAGCUUGCGAAGGCAAGGUUCAGAGUUUGACUACGGUGAGAAGUUUGUACCUCAGCAGAUGGUGAAUGGUAAACUUGGAGGAUUGGUGAUCAAUGAUCGUUUCGUGAGGGAAGCACUAUAUAAGAUCCAUGCAGAGAUGAUGGCUGAGUCAGCUGUGACUAUCUAUGGCAGUGACCCCAAAGGGUUGGCUACACUAUUUGAGAACAGACCUGAAUGGCUUCGCUUUGAAACUGCCAUUGUUGAAAACUCCAUCAGUAGUUAUAUCUAUGAGUGCUUGGCUAACCUUCCAGAUUGUGAACCAUUCUUCCCUCCGACCAACCUCAUAGGACUGGACAAUGCCAACAAGAACUGCAAAUUACAAUUGCUGCAGAAUCUGCUUUCGAUGUCUAUUUGGCGUGACCAUGACACCCCCGUCCAUCGACUAGUGAUGAAACUGUUAGAGUCAGUUGUACGUAAUGACACAAGGAAGCACAUCCUUACUGACCUUGAUGCCAUUCCUCUCUCACAAGGAUCAUUGAAACCUGGAGAACUUGUUGAUCUGCUUGCAAGAUUUGCUGAACUCCUGUCCCGAUUCACCAUCUACUGUAAGAACCAGAAGGAUUAUAAAAACUUCUUUUCGAGAUUCCAUGUAGAUUUCUUUUCAACAGUCACCAUAGAGAUUGAUCGGCAGGUAACGAAAUAUCUUCAGGAUAUUAUCCUCUUGCGUCUGAACCAAUACCAUGCCCGCUACCGACGGUUUCCUCAGAACAUUGCUGAAGCUAGCAAGGCUGGUCUAGCGCUCUAUAUGGCAGUCAAGAAUCUGGUUUCUGUCCUCAAGAAGAAUGUCGCUGGAAAUGAGAGGCUGCAGUUAGAACAAUAUAGCAUCUGGUUCCAGGUGCCUCUCACCUACUGGUUGGUUACCUUUCAACAUGAGACAUUCAGUCGUGUCCACAAGGCUUUAGAACUUGACAAGGAUGUCAAGUUGGUCCAUGAAGUCGUCAAGUAUUCCAACUCGGCGGUUGAUGUCCAGGCUUGCUUCGCAAAGGUUACUCAAGAAUGGCAGAGCAUAGGAUAUGAAUGUCCUAACAGCCGCUGUAUGGCCAUUACAAAGCUAACUGAUCUGAUAUGUGAAGGAGCUAAACUGUAUGCAUGUAAGAUCCACUGCAUCCUGGAAGCCAAUGGGUUCUAUAAGACAAGUAAAGAUGGUCAAUUUGAUAUCAAGGAUAAGCUAUGCAUCACACUCAACAACAUUGAGCAUGUCCGUGGCUACCUGGACAACCUCCCCACUCUCCUAGAAUGGGAAGCUAACUGCAACCAGCUGGCUGCCCACCACCAGACGGCUGAAGCUGGUAAACUAACCCUCAGUACACUGAGACGCUUGACCCAGAGGGCGUGCCAUGACAUCCAUUACAUGUCUAGUCUCCUUGAGAAGAAGAUUGCUUAUCGUCUUAGUCAGGAGGUCAACAAACAUCUUGACAAAUUUGUCAACCCACAGAAGGGUCAGACCAGCGAAGAGUGUAUGGAGGAGCUUCUAGACUACAUAGAUGAGAACCUAGGUACUCUUUAUAAGCAGCUCCUCCCACAGAUCUUCCCUCGCUUAGUCCAGGAGCUCUGGAAUGCUCUCCUGACCAGCAUAAGGUCCAGGAUCCAAGAUGGUAGACCACCAGGCUAUUACAAGAGGCUACAACAGAGUCUGGACUCCUUGGAGGCCUACUUUCAGAGGCCAGGCAUCGAAUUGACAAGUUCCAAGACCCGGACUGAUGAGUAUCACGCCAUCAUGGAGAAGUUGGAACCUAAUACCAGGUCUACAUUCAGUCUGUUGGCCCUGUACUAUCGGGACCUGGCCCUAGAUAUGGCCACGCCCAUGGCCUACCUGGGCCAUGUCAGUAUCAAGAUGGCUUAUCAUGAGGUACCAGGUGACAUGAGGUCACUAUCGGUCAAAGUGUGUAAUGCAGUGGAUCUACCAGGAGUGAAAAGGAAUGGAUUCAGUGACCCCAAGAUUAUUGUGGAGAUUGCCCCAGAAACAACCUUCAACAAAGUCUUAUCCUUCAAGACAAUGGUCAAAUAUAAGGAACUAAACCCAGUUUACAAUCAAGUCUUUCAAUUUGGUGCGUUGCCUGAAGAGGCUUUUGAGUUGGAUACUGUGAUUCUAUCAGUGACAGUCGUUGAUCACAACACUGUGGUCUGUGAUAGCUUCAUCGGUGAGGCCUUCAUUCCACUUCAUCAGGCAAGGCAGGUGACAGAGAAACAGACAGUGGACCACUGCCCUGCUAUCAUGCUAGCCCUCAAGCGACCCAGGAGACUUAGGGGUCAUGUAGAGAUCCUGAAGAGCAGGAGUAAGUGGGACAAGAGUGCCAAGCAGUUCAUCACCAAGCGAACCUGGGCCAUCAAGCAACAGAGACAAAGAACAGACAAGAAGAUUGUGAAAAGGCAUAGUCACAAUGCCUUCUUCCCAGAGUGAUGUCUUCUAGAUCCUGUAAGGUCAUCAGUGUGACCCCAGCAACUAGUGUCCUAGAAGCAUCCAUGUGUCAAUGAGGAUCUGCUCCUGUUAGCUACUCGUCUGUAAGUCUUCUAGAUCCUGUAGGGCCAUCAGUUUGUUUUUAGUGGCCAGUGUCCUAGAAACAUCCAUUUCCUAUGGAGGACCUGCUCAUCUGAAAGUCUUUUAGAUCCUGUAGGGUCAUCAGCUUGAUUCCAGCAACCCCUGUGUCCUAGAAACAUCCAUUUCCUAUGGAGGACCUGCUCUGUUACCUGCUCAUCUGAAAGUUUUCUAGAUCCUGUAGGGUUAUCAGAUUGAUUCCAGCAAACACAGUGUCCUAGAAACAUCCAUUUCAUAUGGAGGACCUGCUUUGUUACCUGCUCAUCUGAAAGUCUUAGAUCCUGUAGGGUCAUCACUUUGAUCUUAACAACCAGUGUCCUAGAAGCAUCCAUGUAUCUUGGAGGAUCUGCACUGUUUCCUGGUCAUCUAGAAGGUCUACUAGAUCUUACAAGUUACCAGGUUUUUCUGGUCAAUUACGAUGUUCUCAAAGCAUCCAGAUAUCAACGAUAUUGUGUUCCAUUUUUUGCCAACUAGAGCCAAGACCCCGCUCAAGGAUCACAAUACUACAAAUGAUUUUCCAUUAGAAAAUAUUAAGAUCUUUUGACUUAUCAUUGACUUUCUGUUCCAGAUACAAAAUAUAUUUCCUAGCCUCAUUGUGCUUCUUUCAAGGAACUUCUCCCGAGGCCAACAUCAAGGGCUUGAGGCCAAGGCAAACAACUACACUAGAUAGAUAUCCUUGGACAAGGCCAAGGCCAUAUAAUUGUAAUUUAGGCCAG
rnacentral:misc_RNA from 1 species